UGGGGAAUAUUGCACAAUGGGGGAAACCCUGAUGCAGCGACGCCGCGUGAGUGAAGAAGUAUUUCGGUAUGUAAAGCUCUAUCAGCAGGGAAGAAGAAAUGACGGUACCUGACUAAGAAGCCCCGGCUAACUACGUGCCAGCAGCCGCGGUAAUACGUAGGGGGCAAGCGUUAUCCGGAUUUACUGGGUGUAAAGGGAGCGUAGACGGCAAUGCAAGUCUGAAGUGAAAGGCCGGGGCUCAACCCCGGGACUGCUUUGGAAACUGUGUAGCUGGAGUACAGGAGAGGUAAGUGGAAUUCCUAGUGUAGCGGUGAAAUGCGUAGAUAUUAGGAGGAACACCAGUGGCGAAGGCGGCUUACUGGACUGUAACUGACGUUGAGGCUCG
rnacentral:rRNA from 1 species